UUUGAUUCUUUUCUGCUUCCAGUUCUGAGCCUGAUUCUUAUUUUCAUCUUCAGCAUUAAAAUCUUCAUGACUAAAGCUUCCAAGAGACAAUUUCCUCCAGGACCCAGACCUCUACCAAUUACUGGAAAUCUGCACCUCCUUAAUCUGAAGAAGACAUAUGAAACCAUGCUGGAGCUCUCCCAGAAAUAUGGCUCCAUUUACAGCAUUCACAUGGGGCCAAGGAAGGUGGUGGUACUCUCUGGAUAUGAAACGGUGAAAGAUGCCCUGGUUAAUCAUGGCGAUCAAUUUGGAGAACGAUCUCAAGUGCCUAUAUUUGAAAGAAUUUUUGAAGGAAAAGGAAUUACCUUCUCUCACGGUGACACUUGGAAGACUGUGAGAAGAUUCAGCAUGACCACCUUGCGGAACUUCGGGCUGGGCACGCAGAUCACAGAAGACACAAUUAUAGAGGAAUGCCAGCGUCUCAUUCAGUAAUUUGAGUCUCACAGAGGAAAGCCCUUUGAAAUCAAAACAGAAAUGAAUGCUGCUGUUGUUAACGUCAUGGUGUUCUGUGUUGUUUGGAAAACGGUUUGACCACCAAGACGCCCAAUUCAUGAGAUACGUAACCAUGAUUGGUGAAAUUAUCAAACUCCUUGGAACUCCUAGCAUUGCACUUUUCAAUAUGUUUCCCGUUUUGGGGUUUCUCCUCAGAAGUCGUAAGACAGUACUUAGGAAUAGAGACGAAUUAUCUUCCUUUUUAAGGACUUUCAUAAAUCACCACCAUAAAUUUGACAAAAAUGAUCCAAGAUGUUUCAUUGAUGCCUUUCAGGUCAGACAGCAGGAGGAGAAAGAUAAAUCUACUGACAAUUUCAGUGAUGACAACAUGGUGGUACUUGUCAGUAACCUGUUUGCGGCAGGUGUAGAGACCACAGCCACCACGCUGCCCUGGGGGAUUCUGCUCAUGAUGCGAUAUCCAGAGAUCUAGGAAAAGGUCCGCGAUGAGAUUGCCCAAGUCGUGGGGUCCACGCAGCCUCGAAUGGCACACCGUGCUCAAAUGCCAUACACGGACGCUGUCAUUCACGAAGUGCAGAGAUUUGCCAACGUCCUGCCCACAGGCUUGCCACGGGCAACAACCACGAAUGUUCUAUUUAGAAAUUACUAUAUUCCAAAGGGCACCGAGGUCAUCCCUUUGCUGAGCUCUGUACUUCGGGAUCAGACCCAGUGGGGGACACCAGACACCUUCAACCCCGGGCACCUCCUGGAUUCUGCUGGGAAGUUUAUGAAGAAGAAAGCUUUCAUGCCCUUUUCAGCAGGUCGUCGGGUAUGUGCUGGGGUGUGACUGGCCAAGAUGGAGCUCUUCCUUUUCUUCACGAGCCUCCUGCAGAAGUUCACCUUCCAGCUGCCCCCUGGGAUCUCCCAUCUGGCCUUGGACAUAACCCCGAACUUCAG